CCCCGCUCGGGUUCAGCGCUAGGAAGCGGGGGCGUGUUAGAGUGACGACCAAUGGGUGAAGCCCCGUGCGCUCUUACGUCAGUCCCAGAACCAAGCCCCCGGCCCUGUGUGCUUAACUCCUGACUUGAGGACCAUUCCCAACGUUUGGGAACACGACCCUAAGCCGACCACCUCCUGCGGGUCUUAAUUGUCUCGCAUCCCGCCCCCUAGAAGUGGAACAUGGAAUGCAGCCAAUCACACUUCUCCGGAUCAAAAGCACGCUCCAGCAUCAGCCAAUGAGCAAUCCCUGGGGACAAGAGGACAGAGGACCAGGGCGCCCACGCUGAGAGCGGCCAGGUCACUCUGGCUCAAAUCCAGCCCUGCCGUGUGCCCGGCAGUUCGGGCUCCCUUCGGAGACUGUACCAGAACGGCCAAGGCAGGGUAAGUUAUC
rnacentral:lncRNA from 1 species